AUACGGAGGACGCGAGCGUUAUCCGGAUUCAUUGGGUUUAAAGGGUGCGCAGGCGGCCGUGCAAGUCAGCGGUGAAAGCCCGGGGCUCAACCCCGGAAGUGCCGUUGAUACUGCAUGGCUGGAAUGCGGUCGAGGCGGGCGGAACGUGGGGUGGAGCGGGGAAAAGCGUAGAUAUGCCACAGAACGCCGAUAGCGGAGGCAGCUCGCCAGGCCUGCAUUGACGCUCGGGCACGAAAGCGUGGGGAUCGAACAGGAUUAGAUACCCUGGUAGUCCACGCCGUAAACGAUGGGCGCUCGUCGUCGGCGGCAGACAGUCGGCGGCCAAGCGAAAGCGAUAAGCGCCCCACCUGGGGAGUACGGUCGCAAGGCUGAAACUCAAAUGAAUUGACGGGG
rnacentral:rRNA from 1 species